GACGAACGCUGGCGGCGUGCUUAACACAUGCAGGUCGAACGGAAAGGCCCUGCUUUUGUGGGGUGCUCGAGUGGCGAACGGGUGAGUAACACGUGAGUAACCUGCCCUUGACUUUGGGAUAACUUCAGGAAACUGGGGCUAAUACCGGAUAGGAGCUCCUGCUGCAUGGUGGGGGUUGGAAAGUUUCGGCGGUUGGGGAUGGACUCGCGGCUUAUCAGCUUGUUGGUGGGGUAGUGGUUUACCAAGGCUUUGACGGGUAGCCGGCCUGAGAGGGUGACCGGCCACAUUGGGACUGAGAUACGGCCCAGACUCCUACGGGAGGCAGCAGUGGGGAAUAUUGCACAAUGGGCGGAAGCCUGAUGCAGCAACGCCGCGUGCGGGAUGACGGCCUUCGGGUUGUAAACCGCUUUCGCCUGUGACGAAGCGUGAGUGACGGUAAUGGGUAAAGAAGCACCGGCUAACUACGUG
rnacentral:rRNA from 1 species